rnacentral:rRNA from 1 species
UACGUAGGGCGCAAGCGUUGUCCGGAAUUACUGGGCGUAAAGAGCUUGUAGGUGGUUUGUCGCGUUGUUCGUGAAAUCUCACGGCUUAACUGUGAGCGUGCGGGCGAUACGGGCAGACUAGAGUACUGCAGGGGAGACUGGAAUUCAUGGUGUAGCAGUGAAAUGCGUAGAGAUCAUGAGGAAGACCAGUGGCGAAGGCGGGUCUCUGGACAGUUCCUGACACUGAGACACGAAGGCCAGGGGAGCAAACGGG